rnacentral:rRNA from 1 species
AUUGAACGCUGGCGGCAUGCCUUACACAUGCAAGUCGAACGGUAGCAUGUCCUUCGGGAUGAUGACGAGUGGCGAACGGGUGAGUAAUAUGUAGAAAUAUACCUAUAGGUGGGGGAUAACUACUCGAAAGAGUAGCUAAUACCACAUAACCUCUACGGAUUAAAGCAGGGGAUCGUAAAACCUUGUGACAAUAGAAUAGCCUACAUCCGAUUAGCUAGUUGGUAGGGUAAAAGCCUACCAAGGGAACGAUCGGUAACUGGUCUGAGAGGAUGAUCAGUCACACUGGAACUGAGACACGGUCCAGACUCCUACGGGAGGCAGCAGUGGGGAAUUUUGGACAAUGGGCGAAAGCCUGAUCCAGCAAUGCCGCGUGGGUGAAGAAGGCCGUCGGGUUGUAAAGCCCUUUCGGAUAGAAAGAAAACUCUUACUCUAGCAUAGUGAGAGAAUGACGGUACUAUCAUAAGAAGCACCGGCUAACUACGUGCCAGCCGCCGCCGUAAAAC